CCUGAAGCCUGGACUUGGCAUUCCCCCGCAAGCCAGGAAGGAGGCAGGAUGGAAGAGUUCUCUGCAGCAGACUCUCUGCCCAGACCAUCCAACACAGCUUUUGCAAGGUUCAAAAUGCUGCCGCUGCCGCCACCACCCCUUUUAUUGACAGAGCUUGAACGUCCCUGUGCUCAGGGUGGAAUCCCAGGAAAAACUCUCUUUAUUUUGCUCUUGGACAAGUACAAAAAUCUUCCACAUGCAAGCCUUCACAUGGAUCUGUCAUGAAUGAGUCUAACAGAUCAACUCAAGAGAAUAGAACUAGCAAGUCCAGGAGGAUCUCAAGGCCAAUAUCUUUCUUUCAAUCAAUAAUUUGGACUGCUAAUAAGCAACUGGUAUUGGAUAACUGACUCACCCACCUAGUGUUACCUCCAAUAUGGCAUACCCAAAUGUAUAUUCCUGUUUAUUUUACAUGUAGAUACCUCUAAUAAAGGACUUGGUGCAGUUCUCUCUCAAUGACAAGAAAGCUGACUCUGGUUUAUCUAGUAUGGGCUGAGGACAUUUAUUUUUAUUUUAUUGUUAAAUUUAUAUACCGCCUUUCAUUAAAAACAAUCCCAAGGCAGUUUACAAAAGUUAAAAAACAUAUAAUAAAAAUGACAAAAGUAUUAAGCUAAAAAUAUGAAAACAAAUCUGAUUUAAAAUAUAUAAAAUACAAACAUAAAAAACUGUACAUGGAUAAACACACACAGAAGCAGCAAUAAAAAAAUCAUGUAAAGGCCUGGAUAGUAUGAGUUUUUUAUUUACUACUCAGAGAAGGGAUGGAAAAGAUUAGAUUUAUGACUUUUUAAAACUUUUUUUUUUAACUCUAGCACUGAAGAACAUUAUAAAGUUCUAAAAUGUAUCCUUUUUUGUUAGACUCAGGAUUCUGGAAGUUUUUGAAUAAUCCUCAAGGUUUUUAAAAUUAUUAUUCAUAUAGGUCUUAAAUCAGAUGAAGGAUGAAAUUGGAGUGGGGAAAUCCACAUUUGAGUAGACCAGUAAGUGGUGGAUUUCUUAUGAGGAUACUGCCUUAUUGCAGAACACUGCAGAUUUUUGGUUCUGUUCUUGAAUUAAUUAUAUUACCCAUACUUUUUUUCUCAAGGCAGGGUUGGUUCUCUUCUCUUUAAACUAUUCAGUUGUUGGGCGAUCAAUUGGUUCAGGGGGAGUUUCUUUUGAAAGGUUCAAUAUCCUUCAUAGAUGACUAGAUUUAGUUUUUGCGAGUUUUGUUAUCUUAAUAUUUCUUACUCCUUAUAUGUACACAUAUAUAAUUACUAUUAUUGUAACUUUCUUAUGUAUGGUUUAGAUAAGAUGGAUAAGAUCUUGUUUGUAAACAUGUAUGGUUUUGUUGGAUUCUCAGAGAUGUAACCUUUUCUGUUUCUACCUUUAAUACUAAUAAAAGCAUUAAAAA